rnacentral:lncRNA from 1 species
UUUUUUUUUUUUUUUUUUUAGGGUUUGUUUUUUUACUCCUAAUAAGGAGUGUAGUACAUGUAUGUAUUUGAACCCUCUCUUCACCUUCCUCGUAAAACUAUAGCAGCACAUUUGAUUCUUUGAUUAAACAAAAUACAAAAAUACAUUUGAUUGAUUCUGCAAACUUUAGACCAGCCAGCCCGGAAUGCCAUUUGAUUGAUUUUCAUUCGAGAGAUACACAUGAUGAUGAUGAUGAUCUUUUGUCAAAAUGAAAACAGCUGUCCCUGUCCCUACUGGCAAAAAUUACUCCUGAUUAGCUUUGCAACGCUAGGCGUGACAUCCAAGAAGUCAUCAUCCAUACUCUUGCAAUUCUCAAUCCUUUGAGGACAGAAGGAUACGGCAUACACAACACUUCUUCUUCGAUUGAUAGAUAUAGCACCUCUACUUCAUCAUUCAUGUGAUCUAUCUAUUAUAAAAUAUACCAAAAUGAGUAUCAAAAAAAAUAUAUAUAUACUAACAAAAAAUCACACAGUAAAAGAUAAACGACACCACAAACAUCUCUGACAUGGGACAAAAAACUUAUAAAUACUUUAUAAACACCUCUAACAAAAUUGCCGUCCGUCUUUCAAGGCUGGUGGAUGACUCUCACACAGACACGUACUACGCUUUCUCACGCGACUAUGAAGUAUAAACGCUCCGUGUUCCCGCCAAUAUAUAUAUAUAUAUAUAUAUAUAUGCCAACUUAACAAUGACCCAACGAAAAUUUUUUUUUUUUUGAAAAAAAAACCUCUAAUUUGCAUCUAAUUACACAAUUAGGCACCACAUUCUUUUUUUCUCUUUUACAUGACCAAACAGUCCACCAGAGAGCGCACUAAAGUUUGGAUAAUGAAUAUCUUAUCUGACUUCAACCAGGAAAUCAUCGAAGUCAAACUCGCCGAAUUCCUCGGCGUAAUUUUUCCCUGACGGUUCCAUCGGCGGCCAACUUAACGGGAAGUCAGCGCCCAAGCCCAGGUCGUCAAACUCCGGGAAGGGGAAAUUACCAAACGGCGUCAAGCCGUCGCAGCAACGGAGAACCGAAGUGGCUGAUGAAACGGCGUCGCUAGUUCCAAUUCCAACCGAAACCUCUGUCUCCGUUUGACUAGUCGCAUCAUCAUAACGGAGCACUGACGUGGGCGACAAAGCGACAUAUUCUGACGUGGCGCUUUCACUACUUUUGUCGCCCUGACACGUCCCACCGACCGUUCCUUUAUGGAUUCUACGGGAAAGUUGGUCACAGCGUCAGGGCCUUUCAGCUUAACGGCGGCUCUAUCAUAAACGGAAGCCGCUUCUUCUGGAGUAUCGUAAGUCCCAAGCCAUACCCGUUUCCUCUUCGUCGGAUCCCGGAUCUCAGCCGCCCAACGACCCCACGGCCUUUGACGCACGCCCCUGAACUUCUUCCGGCUGCUGACGUCAGGUUCCGCCGGCGGAGUCAAACUCUGAUGACUUCUCUUCCCAUUCCUCGGCUGCUCGAUUUUUGUUGUUUUAGGAGGUGGGCCAAAGUUAAUUUCCUCCACGUGUCUCUUUACUCUCCGCACGUUCCUAGUUUCCUCUUCGUCAUCGGAGGAGUCGGUGGCGUCGGCGUCGGUGUAUAUGAUUCUCACAACUUUUUGCCGGACGACGGUCAAAGACUGGCCGGAGGGGGUGAGUGAUCUCCGGUCGUCUAUGGGCUUGUUUGUGGUAACAACAUGUUCUGAAAACUUGACUCUUUGUCGAGAAUACAUUGGAGAUUGAGGGCUGAUGCCUAUUUCCAUGAACUAUGCAGGGAAAUCUUCUUCCCGAGCAUCAAGAAGAAAAGGGAUUGGUUGGUUUUGCUAUCAAAAGAAUAUAAGAAAGCAGGAGAGCAAAACCACUGGGAGGAAAGGAGGGUGGUUUUAUAGAGGGGUUUAUGAGUGAGUGAGGAGUGAACAGACUUUGGAAAAGGGGCAAAGGAAGUAAAUAGGAGUUCUCAGUAAGAGGAGGUGGUGAAAGAAAUCGACACAGCGAUAUUUAGCAAAUGGCGGUUUGGUGACAGUAAAGGACAGGGAGAGAAAAAGGGGACCUGAGUGCUGGCUGGCCGCAGCUUAGCAGUUGGCUUAUGUUGUUUUUGGAGGGAAACAAAAUAAGUAACACAGACAGACACAGAGUAUCAGUAUUGUACUCUGCGGUUUUACAACUCUUUGCUCAAAGAUUCCCAUACCCCUUUUUAUCUCUCUCUCUCUCUUGUUUGUUUUCCCUUGUUCCUACCCCUUUGAUGUCGCAGCUCCGAACGGGAUGCAUCGGCUCAGUUUUUAAAGGGGCAGGAGAGAGAGAGAGAGAGAGAAGAGCAAGGAAAACCAAGAGCAGUGGACUGCGGCCCAGUGUGUCUGUAUAUUAUAGUCCACGGGUCUCAACUAUGGAGACUUGUGUGCAAUGAAGUCUUGUGUCCAAAAGGACUUUGUUUGGAUUGUGUUUUAUUUGGAAUAUUUUUACUAUAACACUUUUUGUGAUGUGAUGUGUGUGAGAUAAAAAGGUAAUUGGAAAGAUAAAAAAGUGUAUUGAAAAUUGUAAUGAUGAUGUAAGCAGAUAAAAUUGGGGAAAUAAAACACAAUCCAAACAAACCCAAUUAAUUUAUUGAAAAUACAUAAACUACAAUUUAGAAAUUCUCUAAUCGAGGAUUGUUCUCAAAUGAUUGAUUUUUUUAACACUUGUAAUGUUUACACUUGUUUUUCAAAACUGAAAAAAAAAACCUUAAAAAUCAAAAGUAACAAAUUACGUGUUUCUGAAUUCUAAUUAUGGCAUUAAAUGACCAGAAGCAAUAAAAGAGUAAACUUAUACUCCCUCCGUUCCACUUUGAUAGUCCUAAUUUUUUCACACAGUUUUAAAAAAAAAGUUAACUUUGUUGGAAUAAUCAAUUUAGGUAGCUAUUUUUCUAAAAUAUUCUCACAUUAAUUAGAGUACAACUUUAUAAAAAUUUGAAUUAAUAGGAAAAAAAGAAUCAACUCUUGGGCUGGUGGCCACCACCAAGCCCUUAAGGCUUUGGUGGGGUGGGAGGUAAGGAUUCAAAUCCGGUGGUGGUUCUAUCCCUCGUAGGUUCAGUUGAACCUCCCCCCGAGUUAGAGUAGGAGCAGGGAUGACAAUUAACAAAAAAAAAAAAAAAAAAUUAGACUACUAACUUUCAGGGUGGAUUUCGGUUUAACCCUUCAACGUAUAUCAAAAUAUCAAUUUAACUUGAAUCGUUUUUAGCUCAUUCUAAUCAUAUUUGGAAGAUUGAAAAUAGCAACAACAAAAUCCUUUUUUUUUUUCAGAUUAGAAGAGCGAUACUUUAUCCUUUACAGCUCAUCUAGGCGAGAAGUUAAUUGUUUUAAAGUCUCUGAAAAAAUAGACUAGAGGUUUCAAUUUAUCACUAAAGUUUAGUCAAAUAUUAUUGACCAAAUAUUAAAUGAGAGGAGUUCUUAUUCGGAACAAAAUUUUCACUUCGAAAAGCUUAAUUGAUACUUAAUCACAUUCAAGAGUUGAAUGAACCAUUCGAUCGACUUUGAAAGGACAAAUCAAAAUUCACCCGAAUUUUUAUUACACACUCAGAUUCUUUCUCUUUCACUAAUGGGGAGUCAGCAAAGGAAGUCGACUAAUAACGGACUAAUCUAAUACUAGUGGUUCUAGCCUUCUAGGACAGUGGUAACGUCGGACGUAAGGUGGUGGAAUUUCGCGGGAGGAGACUACAGCUGGCAUUUUGUUGACGUGUCAAAGGAUUCCUCUGAUUCAAGGAAAAUCUAACCAAAUUCCUAGAUUUCGCCCUGGCUUUUACCAAAGAAGCAGUAAGGUUUCGUUUGGGUUCUGUUGACUUUAAAUAAAAAUAAUAAUUGGAAGGAAAUAUCCUAGAAGGCGGCUGCCGCUUCCCACUGCCACCACGUCUUUGAAGUUUGAACCGAUGGUGUAUUAUGCCACGGGGUGGGCCCGGCCCCGGUAGGGGGCGCAAAUGCGUGGUCUGGCAGUGCACGCUAGAUUCCCUCAGCUUCCCGCUAAAUAUUUAUUCAUGUUUACUACUACUGGUGCUUUGCUUCAGGCCCUAUACUGGAUUGUUUCCAGAGUUAGAUAUCAACCCUUGUCAUCUUCCACGGAAGAUAACGAAAUGUGUGUUUUGACGGCCAGUUCAUUUUAUAGCUCGUACUAAACCUUGCAAUUUAAAAAUUUCUGAUGCACUAAAAACAAAAAUGUGUAAGGGAAAAUUUUUUUUUUUUUUUAAAAAAAGGGGGAAAUUGGGCCUUGUUUGGAAAGGAAUUUUCUACAAAAAAAAAAGAAAAAAUCUCUAUAUUUUUCACAAACAUAUUUUUCAAUUAAUUUUUUAUCUCAUAUAUAUUAAAUCGUUAUAAUAAAUUUUUUUUACCAAAAAAAAAAACUCCAUAAAAUUGGAAUUCAAACACGAGUUCUUGCCACAGUCUCGUGGACCACGACUCGUGUCCUUGACCAAAUUUGCUUUUGCUUGGCAGACCGGAACGUUAGAAAGGUAAGUACACAGAAGUUUCCAUGGGCUGGCGUUUCCCAUAAUUCAAAGGAUAUCUCUAUUAGACAAGAGGACCAGUUUUUCCUGGACUUCAUAAAUCCUUCCCCAAAAGUCUUCAUUUGUACGCUCACUCCUACCAUCAUCGGAGUAAACAAUAGAAGAGUCUCAUCGAAGAAUUAGUGCACAAUAGAGUCUCAUCACUUAAUUUGGGACGGUAGGAUAGAAUUAUCUACCCUAGAUUUAAUUUUAUCAUCCAAGAUUAUUUUCUUUAUCUAGCUAACUCGCAUUCCAAAUUAUAGGCUGCAUGUACACAAAUUUUCAUCUUUCGUGCACCCAUCCUAAAAGAGAAAGCAUAAUUGCAUUAUUCGGCUUGGGAUGUCGAGCAUGCAAGAGGACCUCCUGCAACCGGUGACUUGGGGGAGCUGUUUCAAUAAAUUUACUUUAAAAAAUCAGGAAGGAAAAAAAAACUGUAGAGAAGAAUAUCACUCACGGGAAGGACUUUAAUUGAGCGAAAAGGCCACUCGAGAAGUUGGUCUUUUUCUUCUAGCUUGAAGAAUAAGCAAAGGAAGAAGACCCCAUUUGGGUACAUGGGACGGCACAUGAUACAUUGGCGUUAGCAAUUAUGCAUCAUGUUGUAAGUAAGUAAGAUAUAGACUCAUUGCUUGUCAACCAAGCUAUAAUUAUUUUCGGCUGCCGCCUGAGAUAUUGCUGCCAUCUACUACUUAAUUCUGCUCUACGGUCUUCUCGGACCAAAAAGUAUGAAGGAAAAAGAUGAAGUAAACCACACAUUCAACUACUCCAGCACAAAUUCGAGGCAGGAGCAGGAGGAAUCGACACGUGUUUUGGUUGUGGAUUCUGUGACAAUUUAGGCACCAGAAUUCAACUCUUAUCACCACCAAAUUGCAAGCACCACCAUCCGGCAAAUGAGGCCCUUCCCUUCCCUUCCUCUAAUAAUGGAUUGCAUUUACGGGUCGGGUCACGAUCGGCCUUCAAAUCACCUAACCCUUGCACAAAACGCUCAGCUCACAUGAUCGAGCCGUCAUCAUCAGACGAAAUUAUCAUGCUUGAUCAAGAAUUGCUGCUGCUUAACGCCAGGCAUAUGUUCGUUAGUCUAACAAAUACACUUACUAUGUUUAAGGCACUAAUCUUCAAGAGGAUUAGUAUGAGAUUAGUAGUGCCAUUUUCCCUAAUGUUUAAACGUUACUGUCAUUCUAGGGCUACAUCCCCAUCCCCAUCCCCGCCACCAACAAAUCCCCCAAAUAAUGUGAUACGUUCAAUCUGUUCCUUUCCUUCGAUGUAGACGGCACCAAAGAUACUACUGUCCCAGAUGAUUAAAAUGAGCUCUCAAGGAUGCACAGGCGGAGCCAAAGCUUUAGAGUUGGAUGAGCAAGACUAUAAAAAGAUGUACGUACGCGAGAGGUGAUAUCUUCUUCAUUUUUUUUUUUUUUUAUAAAAAAAGAGUAGAUAAUAAACGAAGUACAACUGAAAUUAAAAGGAAUAAUCAGUCAAGUACAACUAACUCAUCAGUUACAAAAGAUGAAAUCCAGGAGUAGAAGUCAAAAUGGGCGAUCAUAAUCAAAUAAUAGUUAUAAUUGGGUCAAUUCAUUUCUGCUGAUUUAAUAAAUUGACCAAUUCAUAAUAGAUACGAGCAUAUCUAAUUAUCUAUGAUUUUUUAUUUACCGAUUACCUAUUUAGUAAUAACCAUUAUCAUGCGUAGCAGGUCUUACAAGAUUUUGUUCUAUAUUUAUAAGUUUAAAAUGAGUCACACCCUGAACAAAUGAUGAGAUUACAUCCUAUGUAAAAUCGGCUCAUACAAUUUUUUGACAACCAUUUGGGCCCCUGGUCCAACUGGCCAGAGCCAUCAAGUGUUCAACUUCCGCCGAUCCCCUCCAAAAUAUAGGUGGUGGCUGCCAACAAAUCAAUUUAUAUGAACUUUGAUGGGAGGUUUGACAGACUUUUGGGCCUAGAGAGGAGAAUUCGAAAGCAGGACAAAAAGCUGCCAAAUGCGGAGAAUGAGAGGAUUUUUGUCAGGUUCAGAGACGCCGCUUUUACGAUGCAUUUCCCUUGUCCCAAAGGAAACACAAUUCACAUGAUUGAACUCAGUGGCGAAUGCAGUGAGGACAGGACAUCACCACUCUCUCUCUCUCUCUCUCUCUCUCUCGUCAUUGGCUUGGGAUAAACGCUUCCGUUUACACUCACGAGUCAAGUAGAGACAACAUGUGCAGCACGUGGUAGGAUUAUAUGUUCGUAGCCUUUAAUCCACGUUUACCCACUAAAAGUAAAGGAUUUUAGCCUGGCAACAAAUUCUCUCUACUCACCACAUCCAUAUCCUGCCUGGCUAAUUUGUAUCGUUCUUCACAUCUCUAUCAAAAUGAUAGACAGCACUUUAUGAAGCAAAGGCCAGCAAAACCCAAGUACCACCACCACCAUCCCCCCCCCCCCCCAAAAAAAAGAAAAAAAAGAAGAGCUGUCGUACAUUGUAUCUUGCAGAAUUUUUGUAGUGAUCGUCCAACAUUAGAUUGUACUAGUAAUCUACGACUAGGAUUGACAAGGGUAAUCACUUGACUUGUUUGGUCCUCAGGAUGUUUCCCUCUGAUUUUUCGCAGACGAGUUUUUUGGUCCUCCGGAAGUAUCCCUCUGAUUUCGCACGUCCAGUUCGUCUCCUUGGUCAUCCCCAAGAUUUUUUCGCUCUCUUUAUCCUCCUGUCAAAAAUUGGGUGCAGAAUGAGCCCCAAGUCAAGGCUCAAAUCAUCUCCUCCACUCAACUAAAAGUCAGUCAUGGGGAACAAUCCGCCAUGAUCGCCUAGAUAGUGAAGAUCCUAUACUUCAUAUGAUCGCAGGACGGUUGACCCAACAUAAUACCUGCAAAAGUUUAGCAUCUCAAAGCUUUCAUCACAGUGUAAGAAUUCAUCCUAAAGAAAGCACAAUGCAAGAUGCCCACAUAGCUUAUGCAGGCUAUCAGGAUCUUAUAGACCGAACCUGAACCAAACCAAACAUGUAACAGCAACUGCCACGAAAGGGAAACGGAACAAAUCAGACUGCCAUAUUAUCCACUUGACAACAAGAAGGGAAUAUCAUUACAUUACAAUUUCUUCCAUUUCUAAUAUAGCCUCCAAAUCAAUAUUCACAUUACAGAAAAUUACGUUGCUUGCCAACCUCAUUUAAGGAUGAAUUAAUUCAGUUUCUUGACAUCAAUUUUAUUUUUCAACCAAGCACAAUGAAAAACACUUGAAAGGUUACAAAGUUUUUCAGGCAUGCCAGGUCCUGCUUCAACACUAUCCCAUGGCAUACUUCUGAGUCCAGCUGCGAGCAGUGGCCUCGUACUUAGCCCUGUCAGUCUUGUACAUGUGAGCAAUCUCGGGCACCAAGGGGUCAUCAGGGUUUGGAUCCGUCAACAAGGAACAGAUGGAAAGUAGGACCUGCCACGAAAUUUCCAAAUAGGUCAAAAAAGAUGCAAUUUCAGGCUAGUUAAAACCAAAUCUACAUCUUAAAAGGAAGCCACGCUGUUGCAGAUCCUAUGAUAUAUGCCAAAGAAACUACUAUUUGAGUUUCAAACAUGAAGAAACUUGGUAUGAAUUCAUGGCAUAACCUUGAAAAGAAUUUGCAAAACUACGUUACAUGCACAAGAAAUCAAGCAUGAUGUGUUAAUAAGUCAUUCAGCCAAGAACUAAUGCGCUUUUAAAAUUUACUGUAAGAACAAUAUCAUUGAGUUGCUGGUGCUUCUACGACAAAGCCUACAUAUUGGUGGAUACCUAAAUUAGACUAAAUUAAACCUGCUCUGACAACAGCCUCUCAUGUUUCUCAGAAGUUCAGCCUCCUGAGUUUGUCAGAAGUUUAUCUGAAUUGUGAUUGACAACAGCCUCUUAGAAUCAGAUUGACGAUAAUAGACCAAAUUAUAUAAAAACAUCUAAUUUCAGAUGAAAACAACUCACUUAAUUACAGACACCCAAAAAGAGAAAGUUUGAAGUCCAGUAUAAGGUGGCUGCAUCCUACCUUGUUAUAUACAAACAUAUAUACUUCAAAAACUUUUCAAUUACUUCCAAGCAUGUUGCAAGAGUUUAUGUAGAGUUAAAUGGUAAAUGCAAGCUUCCAUCCAAAGAAAACCAGAUCUUAAUUCCCAACUCUUUUAAACUGACGCACUGUUAGCCUUUCUUAUUUGUUUCCACUCUCUGUGCUCAGCUAAUUUCACAAGGUAAGACAUGUUACAUGAGAACCGAGGUUCAAAAAAACAGCUGUACACAGUCCAUGGAUAUGCACAUAAACCAUAUAAAUUAGUACAGAAACGUGAAAUGAAAACAACAGCAGACAAAAAAAGACAUAAUUCAAACCUUUGAUAUGGUUAGUGCCGGACUCCACUGCUCUUUAAGAAUGUCCAGACAUAUACUUCCAUUGCUGUUAAUAUUUGGGUGGAAAACCUUAGUCCUAAAUGCAACCUGUAGUGCACAAAGUUUGUAAGGUCACACAGCAGUGCAAAAGCAUGCAAAGAAAUUUGAAACGCAAGAAAUUCUUGUAGUUAGAAAAGAAUGCACAUGCUAUUCUACCAAUGCACAUACGGCACACAACUGCUGUCCGUAACUGUGAUCAUGGAGUGAAAACUUAACAAACCACCAACCUUGACUAAAAAUAAGGCCCAUGAACAAGCAAUAAACAAUUUUCAAUCACUGAAAAUAUCAGCCCACUACAAGGUCGGUCAUUGAUGAAAGCUAGUGAGACAUGUCUCUAAGCACCCUAUACAUUUCAAGUAGGGGAAGAAAAAUAAAUUCCCUAAAGUUAUGCAGUUAUGAAACAUCCCCACCUCCCUAAUAUCUAAAAAGAAAAGAAAGACAUUUCGGUAUAGGACGGUGACAGUUCCAUCUCUCAUAAAAGCUUAUGAUUUGACAUCAGUGAUGUUUGACAGGCAGUCCUACUUGGCUGUUCCACUCACAUCAGACACCGCCAAGAUCCCCAAAGUGAUGAAUUCUGAAUCAUUAUUUUCCCUUUGUUUCUUUUUAAUUUGGGCAGGGGACCAAUUGUGCAUUCAGCAGUGAAUACUUCUUCCAAAUACACUUAAAUCAGUAAGUGCUCUAUAUCAUAAGAUAUCAGUGGAAUAUAAUAAAGGACCAAUCAUCAUACCUUUGGGGGCUUAAAUGGGUAAUCCGGGGGAAAGUGAAUAGAAACUAGAAAAACACCUCCUGCGUAAGGACUAUCAGCAGGUCCCAUAAUAGUUGCUUGCCAAUGGAACAUAUCUUCAGCCACUGGACCUGCAUUAGUGCAGCACCAAUAGUGAGAUUAAUAGUUUGGCUCAAUAAAAUGAAAAACACACGUCAAUAGUGAUGACAAUUAAAAAUAUUCCAAAUCUUGAUAGAAACAUUUGUUAACUCUGACCACCCUACCCUAUAAUUUUGAUGACACAUCCCAGCAAAUGCAUCAUCCGUAGAAACGAUAAGUGAUAACAUACAAAUGAUGCAUCGGAACAAAAUCAUAGUGGAUCUAUAAAUCAAAACAAGAAAUGUCCAACAAGGGCAAAAGAGGCAAACAAGUACUAAUACUUUGGAGCCAGAGUUCAGAGUUCAAAAGAGCCAGAGUUCAGAUAAUUUCAUGAGAAAUUAUAAUUUAACACGAGACAGCUUUGGCCACAUAAACAUAAAUAACAGUCUGAAAAAAGCUUAAAAACCAUUCCUUUACAGAUGAGAGUAUGCCAAUGUCAAAAAUUCCUCCUCUUUGACAUGAAAUUUAGUAUAAAUAAAAUCAGAAACAUAAUUGGAAUGGUUUGAAUAUAUUCAACAACUUGUCCAAAAGGAAAGUACAUCAAAUAGUCACACACGCAUCAGGGGCAUCAUCACACCACUCAAAUUCGGGCAUGUCAUAACUUAAAAGAGUCUAUACAAUGCACACAAAGACUAAACUUUGCCGGGAGUAUUGAUUGAAUUGAUCAGACAGUAAAUCAAAUUUUGAAGACUAUUUUAUCUUCCAACAGUCUAAUUAGCUAUCAUUUAGAUGAUUGCACUCUGUGGUCAUUAUGUAAGACCCCAUCAACUGUAAGACCCCAUCAACAAAUUUAACCGGCCAUACUACUGAAAAAAACCUCAAGGAACGCUCUAAUCAGAUAAGUACGAAAGAAGCUAGGCAGGAUCUGAAGCACACUUUGAAGACCAAGCAGAGCAAAACAAACAAACAUCUUUAACCAAGGCAAAGCUCCCAAAUCAGCUAUAUGAGGUAGCAUUCAGCUGGUCAGAGCCAAAGCCCCCAAAUCAGCCAUAUGAGGUAGCAUUCAGAUAGUUUUAUUUAUUCGAGUGUCGAAACUCGUACAUAUCAACUGCCAACAAAAUUACAAAAUCAGAAAAGGUAAUAAGUAGAUAAAAAUAGAUACUUGAUCCAUCUAACAGGUAAACUACUAAGAGAACAAAGAGGAAGAGACAAAAGGAUAAAACGUACCAGCACUACACGAUGUGGGAGGAUCCUUCUGCAAAUCCUUGAGCUCCUUCAAUAUCCGUUUUGAUGCCAUCACUUAAAUCUUAACUUCCAACUUCAGAUCAGAACCUAUGCCAGCAAAAAUAAAAGUUCAUUAAGCACAACAAAGACCCAAAAUAAAUAAAUCGAUAAAUAAAACUCUUUCAAGGCUUAAAAAAAAAUAUAUAUAUAUACACACACACACAAAGGCCAUUCAAAACAAAGACCCCAUCAGAAAACAGAAAAGGACAGUCAACCCCGGACGACCGUCGAGGCAAAUGAAUGAACAAAUUGCGAGAUCUAAACACAUCCCUCGCAACAUAAAAAUCUAAAACAUGGGUUCUUAAACAAAAGAUUGAAGGAACAAAGGAAACCUGAGGAAGGAGAAGCGUGCGGCGGGGAGGGUGGGGGGAAGAACUUGGACACACGGAGAAUGCAGAGACGAAUAAAGAAGAAGCAGAGGAAGAGCAGAAGAAAGAGGAUAUAUUGAAUGAAUUAUUGAUGAUUGAGGGAAAGGGUUAGAAUAUAUUCUCAACGGUGUCGAAAGAUAUAAAAUUUUAGCUAAUCACAGUAGCGUCACUCCUAAAAGAUAGAUAAAUAUAAAACAAAAAGUAAAUAAAUAAAUGUGGAAUUAGCAGUAGAAAAAGGAGGGCAGGGCUGCCCGGAAGGGAAGAGGGGGUCCAAUUUGAUAUUCUAGAAUUUUGGAGGUGCAGUCGUAAUUGGCGUACAAUCAACGGCACCCCUCUCUCUACCUUUAUACGUUACCACUAAUCCCCGAAAGACAACAACUAACAACUGCUACUAAUUGAGACUAGGGGCCGCCCCCCAGUCCCAUCCCCUGCAAUUGGUUUGUAGAAUUCUUUCUUCUCACCGCUUUAGGAGUGCCGGAGACUCGCUGCGGCGACUUUUACCCUUCCGCAGUCGGCUGGUUUCGAGGUUUUACUGCUGCAAUAACACAUUUUAUCAUUAUUGUCCGGAUUCUGGUUCUUCUCCUCUUCUUUUAUUAAAACUGUAAGGGUAAAAAACAAAAAAAAACUCGGUGAUAAAUCUAAUACACAGAAAAGUUCCUUACGAUUUUAAAAUAUACAAUACGACAUCUCAUAUUUUGAACUAAAUUAUAAAGGUGACGGAAUUCGUUAAGUUUAACGGAAAUGACUUAUUGAAAUCUAAAAAAAAAAAAUUUAUACCUAAUUUUUAUCAAAUAUACCCAUUCUACCCCUUAACCCUCAAUUCUCUCUAUUUAGAGAAUAAAACAAAUAAUUUUUUUGAAUUGUCUUUUGCUUAAUUAUAUCAAGACAUUUUUGUCAUUUCAUUCAUUUCCAUUAAGUUUAACAGGUUCAGUCACAUUUACAAUUUAGUUCAAAAUAUGAGGGAUCGUGUUGUAUAUUUUGAAAUUACGGAAGACUUUUCUGUGUAUUAGGUUUACCACAAGGGUUUUUUUUAUUUUUUAGCCAAAAUGUAAUUGUCCGAGUCAAAAUAGUAAAAGGACAAAUUGAACCGAGUAACAACUAACAACAGAACAGAGAUGUUGCCCAUAAUGUCUAGCUCCUCGUAUUAGGGGAUUCUUAACAGAAUAUUUCUCUAUUAUUGGAUUUCUUAAGCUAGAUUCUUGAAUAUGUGCACAGGCGUAUUACCUCAGCUCCUCGUCCCCAUUCUCCGAUACAAAAUAAUCCCCUUGUAUUUAGUGUACUAUUGUUCAUUCGUUUGAUAAGUAGAGUUCAACGAGUAAUUGUUUUAUUUGUAAUGCGAUCCGUACUCGAUAAUCAGUAGAUCAGUAUUAAGUACACAUACAGGUGUUUGAUAAGUUUCACUAGGGCGUAAAUUUGAGGGGGGUUUUAUUCUUUUUUAAUAUAGAAAAAGGCAGAUUUGAUUUUUGCAUUGGGGGAAGUUCUGCCAAUGAUAUAGAGGAAUAGGGUGCAAACGAAUCGACUAGUUCGCGAACAUGCUCGGUCAAAACUCGGUUUCGAGCUCGCCUUGACCGAGUUCGAGCAACUCGAGUUACUUAACGAGUGGAGUUCGAACUUAAUAUGUGAAGUUCGAAAGUUCAUUGAACUUAAUCGAGCUUCAAUAAAUAUGUUUUUUUUUAAAUUUUUUUAUUUAUUAGUAUGAUAAAUCUAUUUUGUCCUUUGUUUAAAAUUAUAUUAAAUAUAAAUUGAUACUUCUUAAUCUCGAUUAGACUCGAUUGGACUCAAUUGAACUCGAUAAACAUGAGCUCGAGUUCGAAGUCAAGUAAUACAAAAUAAAAUCGAGCUCGAGCUUAACUUUUAAGAGAUCGACGAGUUUGAACUCGAAUUUGAGUCUAAGUUUUUAAACUCUAGUCAAGAUCAGGAUUAGACAGUACAAUUGUUAAAAUUUUUCCUUUUAUCCUUGUAAAUUUGACGAGCUCAAAUCGAUUCGAUUACACCCGAGAGAGAGAGGAGACAGAGAGGACCCUAGUCAAAAUGAAUAUAAAGAGUUGAAGAUGUUAGUGUAGCGGACAAACUGGGCCGCGACUAAUGAAUACGCUGGAGCUGAUUGGCAAAAGCUGUAACUGAUUCAAACUGAGCUGUGAUUGAAUCUGUCAAAGGUUAACCCCAAUUUGGACCGUGAUAGAAACGAGAAGAAAAUAGCAAAGACAGUUGCAAACAGAAUUGUACUAUCUGAGAAUAACACGGAGAGAAGAAUAAAUUUGGUAACUUUGUUGUAAUCCACGUGUGAUGAAAUAUAUGAUGAAUGGUGUUGAUUUUUGAAAACUAGUUUUUAAAUUAAUUUUAUUGGAACGUAACACAGAGGAAUUCUUCCAACAUAACGGAGCCUAGUUCUUUUGUAUUUGGCUAUUAACUCCUUUAUUGCACGGAGUUUUUUUUUUUUUUUUUUUGGGGGGGGGGGGGUUUCGUAUUACAAUUUGUUUUAGCCUCAUCAUGCUACCUAAUUGCUAAUAUAACAUUUGAUUACCAAAACUAGAGAGAAAGAACAAAAUUUGCAGAGCAGAGGAAGAAAAACUAGGAGAAUUUUCUUGUUAUACAUUCGAUCUGCCUCCAUAAAAAAUAUCCAAAGAAAAGAAGACUAUGCCCGGCGACAGCUCAGAGAGGAAAGAAGGGAGCAGGGCUGCCUACAAGCGUUACUCAAGAAAAGAUAAUCCAACCCUUCCUGGAAUAUAUUAUUAAUCAUCUAAACAAACAUUCAACACAGCCAAUGCCUCACCAAUUCUUGCAUCUUUUGCCUUCGCAAAGGAUCAAGUCAUCAUCAUCAUCAACUGCGCAAAUUGGAGAAAAUAAGUCCAUGAGCUCCAAAAUGGACGAAAAGAUACAAGCUCUAAUGAGUUACCUGACGGGGGUCAUUUUGACCUGACAUUUGGGCACUUCUCCACUGUCGAGUAACCCCUGAUAGAUGUCCUCGCAGAGGACUUUGAAAGGGAAGCCCGGCAUCUUAUGUCCAUUAAUGACAUAAUGUACAACACCUCCAACGAUCACGUUCAUAAGAAUUUGGUGAUUUUGGGAUUUCUGUUUCAGGUCCUUAGCAUCAGCCUCUGUGACGGGUUCCUUUUGAAGCUGAGCAUGCAACUUCAACCGUGCGGAAUUCUGAGGUUUCUGUUCCAUAUCUGGAAGAUGCACCUUGCCUAAGUCGAUGUCCUGAGAGGACAAAUCAGCAGUCAACGAGGUAUAAAACACCGGCAUUAUCCCAUUCUUGUUGGUGGCGUUCAGGUCUACUUGGAUAUCCGUGGUUAAGAAUGUAGUAUCAGAACUUUUGGUCGUGGAAAUAUCAAGCCUGUUAAUCUGGAGCCUCUGGAAAUGGAAUUCUGGCAUGUUGGAUUGGAAGAAGGAGAAGAAUAUGGCUCCAACAAUGAGAAACAUCACGACCAAUAUGCCUACGAUGAGGGAAGCCCAUGCGCAGCAGAUGUUGCAGCCGGAGUUGCGGGGUGGCGUAUUGUUUCUCUGACCUUCGACGUCGAUCACAAAAGAUCGAGGGGAUUCAGAUUGCUUGAGAGUCGACUCGUUAAAUGAAACGCGGCGAGACAGGUUCCUUUGAGGGCGUUGGUUGCCCGAUGGCUGGGAUUGACCACCUCUGGAAUUAUUAGCAGCCAAACCCGCCAUUGCGAAACAAGCUCCAAGACUACUCCCUUCGCGGAGGGAGAAAUUCAGCAUUCAUAGUUUUACCAGAGAUAUUGGAUCGGGAUUAUGUCUGCAGCAACAGAGUUCCUUUUUCUCUCCUAACGUAUAGGAACACCGCACAGCUAUUUUAAGUAAAUUAAAGGUUUGAGAAGAAGAAUAAUUGAACAAAAGUAACAAACCAAUCUCGGAAGAAAAAGACCACGAAUCUGCUUAAAAUCAUAAAUCAGCUUUAUGAGUCGGAUAAAGAAUCCUUACAACAAAUCAUGAAAUGGGAAAAGGUACAAUCUUUUAAAAAACUAAUAAUGGACUACAUCCCUAAGUCGAAAUGAAGCAAUCAGAUUAAUUCACACUCUAAGGAGCUAUACGCGCGGGCAAGGUCACAGUUAGGAAUGGAGUACUGAAACAGGCACGCGUGAAUUGAAUCAAAUAUUGAAUCCCCUUUCAAAAUACAAAUGGGAAACCGCAAAAAAGAUAAACAAGGAGAGCCUCCAAGGAGUCAGGGGGUCUGCACAGUUGAGUCCUUGGAUUUGUUCUCCUCUGAAGAUGGCCGAUUCUCCGAGUCAGAUUGCCGGACCUCUUCAAUCAUCCUAACUACUUCAUCCAUGUUUGGUCGCAUGUCUGGCACCUUGGCAACACAUGCCAUGGCUAUUUGCAGCAUCUGCACCAUUUCUUCUUCAAUAUUUUGGAACCUCAUCAACUCGACAUCAAAAACUUCGGCUGUCCAUUCCUCCCUGACAACUGAUUGCACCCACCUUGGGAGAUCAACCAUGUCAUCCCGUCCUGGAGACUGAAUUGGUUGUUUUCCAGUUAGCAUCUCCAGUAGCAAGACGCCGAAGCUGUAAACAUCUGAUUUAUGAGUGUGCUUUCUGGUUUCCAUAACCUCUGGUGCACGAUAUCCUGCCUGCCGAGAUCUAGUGGCUGGAAAGUUCAUGAGUGGGGCCAAGCCAAGAUCAGAGACACAGCCAUCAAGAUCUUGAUUGAGGAGGACAUUGGAAGAUUUAACAUUUCCAUGAGUAAAUUUUGGGCCUCCCACAGAAUGGAUAUGGGCAAUGCCUCUAGCAGCUCCAAGGGAUAUCUUAACUCUCGUCUCCCAAUCUAGUGGUGCUCUCCCAGAGGACCUGUUUCCUGUUAUCAGAUAAAUAUUAAGAAUCCACCAAGACAUAUCGGCUAAAGUCAAUAGGAGUGCAUUAUUGCUCUUGAUACUUAAUCUAGAUAAAAAAGGAAGAGAGAGUGCACAACAAGAAAAAAGAGGAAGAUGCACUUCAAAUCCAGCUCACACCUGAACUAUGAGACACUUCUACUGAUCCCCAAUGUCCAGGUACCUUCAGUUAGAGUUGGCAGUGGUAAAGUUCCACUUUGGAAGGGAAUUCCAGAUUUUGUUGCAUUCAAAUACAUAAUCAACUUAAGCACAGCACAAAAACAAAGGAAACUAUAUCACCCAGUUAUGUGGUCAAGUAUUAAGAGGAAGCUUGUUUUCAAGCACCAGGUAAGACCAUAUGCCUUUUAGCUCUGAUCAGUUGUUCUACUUGCCUCAAGCAAAUGUUUCAUUCCAAGCCAACAGGCAGCCCUGUUUUGUGACUUGGUUGGAUGCUAUUCUGAUUAUUAUACUUUAUGCAAGUAAAUUAUUUGGUUUAAAACCCAAGUAAUUGGGGUCACUAAAUGAGCAGCUGAAACAAGAGAGUGGAGCAACAGAGCUACAUACCAUGUAACAAAGCUGACAAGCUGCUAUUUGAGAAGUAAUCAUAGACCAAAAGCUUUUCAUCCUUGGAAUAGUAAUAAGCACGUAGAGGUACUACAUUUGGAUGCUGUCCGACUCUCCCAAUAAUUUCCAUCUGCUGUUCGAAGUCCUUUUUCCCCACAAUUACUUCUUUCAACCUUUUAACAACCACAGUCGUAGACUCCUCCAAGACAGCUUUAUAUGCAGUCCCAAAACUACCUUUUCCCAGCACUUCAGCCGAGGCCCUCAAUAAAUCCUCCAGAUCAAAGUUAUAAGAGCAUCCCUCAAAGAAAACCAGCUUGUUCUUUUCAGGUUCUUGGACUCCACUACCAAACUCCUCUCUAGGUUUCUCACUCCUUCCACCGCUGGAGGAUUUUCCUUUUAGUACACUGCCACCAUCAGUUUGCCUUUUCUUAAGGCAACACAAAAGGAAUAUUACCACUAUAAGAAAGAGGAUUAGAGCACCACCAACUGCAAUAGCAAUAAUAGCUCCUAGAGGGAGUUUCUUUUUGGAGCUUUGUUUUCCUUUUGGGGGAGGUGGAGAAAAAUUGGGGGUAGGAGAAGGUGGAGGAACAAGAGGAAGACAGGGACUCAGAGGCGCCCCACAUAAGAAAGGGUUCCCUAAAAAUGAUGAAUUGGGGAAAAUUUGCAGGGCAUGUGGUAUGGAACCAUUAAGGUGGUUGUAACUAAGAUUCAAAUGUUUGAGCCUCGGAAGGGUGAUAUUAGGAAUGGUACCAGAAAGCGAGUUAUUCUGCAGAUUCAAUCCAGUGAGUCGAGUCAAAUUCUGAAAUGUUAGCGGGAUUUUCCCAGUAAAGGAAUUAAAUGAUAGAUCCAAAACAUUGAGUUGCGAAGAGAAAGAAGUUGGAAUAUCGCCGGAGAGAUUAUUAUGUUGAAGGAAGAGGUGCUGAAGCGAAGGGUGGGAAGAAAUAUCAGAGGGUAGAUUACCACUGAGGAGAUUGGAUCUGAGGCUGAGAAUCCUCAGUGCAUCCAAUUUUCCCAGUGUGUUGCUAGGGAUAGGACCUUUGAGUCCAACCCCAGGAAGCCGAAGAGCAAACACACGAUUGCCAUCUGGAUAACAUUUGAUUCCAACCCAAGAUGUGCAGAUAGGCCUAUUAAGAGUCCAAUUUAGCCUCCGACGGUGGGGAACUCUAUCUGCAAAAUCCAGCAAGGCUUGUUCAUCACCUUUCAAAUCACCAAGUGCCAGAGGCAGAAGAAUGACAUUGACAACGAGCAAAAAAUGCAGAUAGGUGUUGCAGAGUUUCAUCAGGUGAUUGCUAGAUUUAUGGGAGAGAAGAUGGCACAGGUAUUGCUGGCCUGUCAACAUCACAGGAAACAUUGAAACAUCAGUAACUCUCUGCAAAAUAUAAGUGGACCAGAAACCAGCACUUAAGACACUUCCAAAUGAUAAUGGCAUACUAUGAAAACAACCAGAGUACUCAUAAGAACAUAAAAACGUCCUCCAUGCCUCACUGCAGCAAGUCAGCUGGUCAGUGGAAAGCAAGACUACUUUAAAUCCAGCAAAAAAAAAAAAAAUUUGUUUAAAGGACUUUAAGCUUAUGGUAUGGUUUAAUAGCACAUAUAACUUACUAGGUAGAUGAUUUGAAAGGGAAAAGGUAAUAGUAGUGUCAACAAUAGUUCGAGUUAAAAAAUUGCAAGGACCUUUCUUGCUGUGAAAAAAGCCAGUUUUAUAAACCUCGGCAUAUUAUAUGAAAGAAGUGCACAAUGAAGCCAGAUGACAAACUAAGCACUUUAAGUUUUUUGACUACCAAAUAGAAGUUUUGCCGGAUGGAAUUUGGGUACCAAAUGUUGGAAAUGGAACAAACCCUGCAUCAUUUCCAUAGUUUUUGCCAAAACUCCAUUCAACAAUCUUCAUAUAGCAGGCAGACAACUAUCCACAAGCAAAGAGCACAUAAUAUAUCUUCAUUAUAACCAAAAUUACAACCAAUCAACAUAUAGUUGGCAUGAAGGACUCGAUUGUUAAUUUAUGAGGAUCAAUUAGGAAGCCUUCAUAUUCGGAGAUAUCACCAGAAGCAUAACUUUCAUAUGAGCUAACCACUAAUUAUAAUGGAGUUCUAGAGUGGCCUUCCUGGGAAGGCAGAAAGGACUGUGAAAUAGAUAGAUAAACUAAAACACAAGCACUUAAAAAUUCCACAUACAAACACACAAAGUAAAUGUUACACCUAGGGUUCUUUAAUCCAUACAUCCAAAAAGAAAAGCAUUCCCAAGCAUGUAAAAGUAGCAAAAGAAUUGAGAAAAGACACAUUCAGAAAGCAAGAAGUUAGAAAAAGGCAUCCAAGCAAAGGAAAAAGCAGAGCCCGUAUGCUUUUUCUUAUCAUCUAUUAUGCCACACAAGUGAUUUAAUAGGCUCAGUUUACAAGGAAGUGGAUGUACUGAGAUAUUGAAAGAGUCACACGAACUUUUUUCAUCUUCUUUUUUCGCCAAAAAGUAGCAAAUGAAUUCCUAAGGAGAAACAAAUUCACUCGUUGCAUUAGGUCGAUCAUUCAUAUAAGAAUUUACUAAUCUAAACAUUUUCACUAUUAUAGCAAAUGAAAUUAUUACGUCUCAUUUAACAAAAAAUUAAAGGCUGUAUUGAAUUGCUAGCACCAACAAAAUGCUAUAACAUUUAACAAAUCAACAAAAAUUCUAGGAAAACGGCAGAAAGAGAGAUUUCAGCAAAUUACUACCUACAACAGCAGUUCUCUUUGAGCUGAGGAUUAGUUGGGCCUAAUAAACAACCCCCCAAGUCACAAUUUUGUCAAAAAAAAAAAAGAAGCUCAUUUUGUCAAAAUUAGUAUGACAAUCUUAGAAAACUUCACAUAGUUGACAAGCAUUAAUUGUUUAAACCCAUAACCACAACCCUUUAGCUUUUCCAAUUUAAUCACUUGGCAGAAUUUGACCCAGUAAACAUUGUGAAUGAAACAUCAUAAACGCCAGAAAACUGCCCCUUUUAUUCACUUAGAUCUGCUUCUCUGUAAAUUACACGCACUAACUCAAAAGGUUAAGAAAUGACAAAACUCUGGGCUCCGAGCCUCCGCAAAACAAGUUUCACAAGGCAAAUAAAAAGGUAAAAAAUCUCUUCAAAGAAAUUACCUUAAAGGAUACCCGGUGAAUUUCAAGACUGCUUGGCUUGAAAGUGGAAAGUGCAGCUGCAUUGAAACUUCAAAGCCAAAAUGCAGAAAAGGAUUGUUGUCCGAGGACUCAAACUAGUAUGAUACAGCAACCACAUUGAGGUUAAAAAAAAAAAACAAAUGUUGAAGAUCCAGAAGCAGAACGGUGAGGACCCUCUGGAGCAGUUGAGCUAAAUUGUCAGGUAAAGAUGAGGUUUCGAGAGUGAGUAAUAGAUCUGUAGCAUGGUCAUACAAGAAAGAGAAAAGAAAGGGGAAGAAGUAGAAGAGGUUUGGUUGAGUGAAGAGGAAAGGAAACUGAACAAAACUGGGAAAGGUGGAAUUUUUUUUUGGAGUGAAGAGGAUUAUGAGAGUGAGGUGUCACCUGUGGACUUUGCUUUCCCUCACUCAUUCACUCGCCCUCAACUCAACCACUCCAGUGUGGGCAUUCAUUAGUGUGUGACUGUGUGUGGGAAGAGAGAGAGGAGAGAGAGGGGCGAGAGCGAGACUGCGAAGGGGCGGAUGAUGCGGGGGUAGUUCUUGUUCUUUCUCUUGUUGUUUUAGACAGACAGAAGAGCGCUUUUUUUUUUUUUUUCUUUUUCUUUUUUUGAGAGAGAGAAAGGAGUGGCGGGGGGUUUUGGCUUGUGUGGAGGGAGGAAGGAGGAAUCUUUAUACAGAUACAGUCAUACAGAUACAGUAGACUGAAUCUCUAUCUGCAAUUUUUUUUUGCUUGAAAGGAACUCCUUUUGUUUUUCAAUAAUCGAGAGAAGAUUUCUACUACAAGAAUUGUGAGAAAUGAACCGGCUCUUUAAAAACAAUAAUAUAAUUAAUAUAGCCCAUCAAUCACUACGAUUCUCAACAGAAGCUACCAUUGUGGGUGAGGUUUUGAGUUGAAUAGAAUGUACAAUUUUCUCCUUUUUUUUUUUUUCCCUUGCCAAAAACUAAUGGGAAAAGGCAGCGCAAAAAAGGUUUUGAAGUUUGAAAGUCCAGUUUUGUGUUUUGAAUUUCCCCAAAAUGAUGAAUGGAAAUAGGAUGCGAAGAAAGGAGAAAGCAAACAUGUCAUUAUUUGACUUAAAGAAAAGUUAAAAAACCAUGCGGUACAACUACGAACAUGAAUGAAACAAUUAUUAUUAUCUUCUUUCCUUUGAUUUGAUUAAAGGGACGAUGAACAGGAGGAGUGUCGAUGAACUUGACCCAAUGACGCCUCCCAUCAAAUCUUUUUCGGCAAUUUGGAUCUUUAGAGGUCAAACGGACCCUUAUUCUCUUCGUCCAUUGUCGUCUCUCGGACGCUUUUCUUCUUCAUUAUUACUACUACUGACAGACGAUAAUCGGGACAACCACACAUUAAUCGUGGAAAUAAAAUUUGACCAACGCAUUAAACUACUUGCUGUAAUAAUUACUAUAUAAUACUUUUUGUGAAGUUACGGAUAUCAGAUAAAAAUAUAUCUGUCAUACAAGCAAAUAAUAAACGCCUUUCCAAACACAAUCUUUAUUUAAAAUAUUAUUUUAUUUACGUCGUCAUAAAGACGGUAAAAAGGUCAAACUCCUAGCAAAAAUCUCACCCUGGUCAGAUCAAUGGCCCGUAUGGAACUGAGAAUUUUGAUAGUAUGAAACAAUUAAGUUGUUGGGCAAAACAGAGUGCAGGUUAGCAAUUGCAUUUACUCUUUGCGGAAGUGGUUGGCAUUCAUUUCUUUCACAUGAAGAGGAUCAAAUACUCCGCUGCUACAACACUUGUACUAGUAUUCUUCAUCUCGCUAUAUUCUUCUUGCGUUGUUUAUGUGAAAAGACGAGGAAAGUAUUGAUGACCUCUGAGUUAAAUCAACAGUAGUAUUGAAGGGUACUACUAGUCAAUAAGGUAUUUGAGUGGUUUGGUUUCUAUACAAGACCAGAGGUACUUGAACUGUGCAAAGUAUAGUUUGAGUCCCAUGGAAAUUUAGUCGAAUGCAGAUAAGGGGCAGGGACCUGAACAGUCAACGGCCAAAUUUUGGUCAAAAAAAUGUGCAGUCUAGAUUACAAGUUGUACAUCAAUUUUCACAACGUGUGUGGAGCCCGUAAAUUUUUGUACUAAAGUUACACGUUGUGCAAACAAAGUUACGCCGUGUGCAAUCAAAGUUACGCGCCGUGUAAAAUGAUCAAAAUGCCCACUGUCCGUCGAAUGCAUAGCAUCAAAUUAUUUUGACACAUGUUGAAUGAAUAGAAAUAUAUGAGAAAAAUUGAGCAUUAAAGCAAUUAAAUUUGACAAAUAUUAUUUGAAUUCUCAUUUUUGUUAAUCAUACUUUCGUUAUUAUUUUUAUCGUAUAAUUUUUGUUUAUUGUAGGAACACAAUUAACACAAUAUGGAGUACAAAUAAAAUUUCUUUCAAAAUUUGUUGUGAAAAAAAAUUCCAUCUAUGAAGUCAACCUCUCUAUUUAUUGUGAUUUGAAUAAAGAUUUUUGAACCACUAUGAUGAUGAUACCCAAAAAGGAGAGAAAUUUAAUACAUUAUAAGUGCAUUGGUGUAUUAAUAGUAGUAUAGUUUUAGUUAAAACUAAAUCAAAAGCAGUCGUAAUACUUUUAGUACUUUAAUAAUGAGAAAACGUUUAGAAAACUACUAAAACAUAGCACAAUCUUCAACAUCAAUAUAACUUACUAUAAACUUUCAUAUUUUUCUUUCUUUUGAUAGAAGAAUCCAGUUUAUCUAUUUAAAUUCUACUUAAAGGUGAUAACAUUAUCCUGCAGCUCCUGAAUAUAAAUAGCAAAGUUAGAUAAAAAUAUGAAUUGCCAUGUUUUCUGGUCUACAUAUACAAAUUAGAAUUGAACUAUUUUUUUAUUGCAAAAACAUCUUCAUAAUCAAAAUUGAAAUUUCUAACAAUUUUUUUUCAAGUCACACUCUAAGCUGAAAGCCUCAAUUAUGACUUCCACCACCGACUGCAAUCCUUGUAUACCAACCCAAUUCAUACUACAACACUUGAGUAAUUAAAAAACAAACAAAACUUAACUUUAGUUUAAAUAUAUACAAAAUCUUAUUGGAUCCUUCAAUUAAAUUUAAUAGGCCAUAAAGUAAUUGCAACAAGAAAGAAAUGGAGAAAAACGGAGGUACAAGAAUGCCUAACUAGAUUUUUCUUGGUGAAAACAUCACAUGAUAUAUUUUUCUUCUAAACAAAUACACAAAAUUGUAGAUAAUUACAAAAUGUAACCAGAAAAUAAAGAAAAGGAAACAAAAUGUGAAGUAAGAAAUCAAAAUGUGAAGUAAGAAAUCAAAUCAUAGGAGAAGAAAAUAAAAGAAUGAAUUUUUGUUCUAUUAUUCAUAGAAAAUGAUCAUUGGUAUAAAAUGAAUUCUAAAUUUUUUUUUACAUAUUUUAAAAUUUCACCUUUUAUCCAUGAAGAACUACCAAAUAAAACACCAUCCUAUAAAUUUAACAAACAAAUGCUAGUUGGCUAUAACAUUAUGAUUAAAAAAAAUAGAGCAAACAUGCGAGAUUAGAGAUGAAGAAAAAAGGAAGAAAAGAAAAUGUAAAAUGGGAUAAAAAAAUAAUAAAGAAUUCUUUUUGCUAAGUAGUUAUCAUCUUGACAAAAAAAAAAAAAAAAGAACAUGGCAACAAUCUUAGUUAGAUUAGUUUAAAAAAAAUAAAAAAUAAAAAAGGUGAGGGAUGACAGUAGUUACUGCAAAAAGAAAAAGAAGAGAUGGAAUUGAUUUUUUCUAGGAGAAAAAAUAUUUUAAUCCUUUAGCCCAAUUGAAUCAAAAAAGGGAAGGAAAAAUUCUGGUAAAAUAAUCAAAGGUCCACUUGUCAAAAAUAUAUACAAUACAUGUGUAAAAAAAAUGGUUAGCUACAGUAACUUGGCUUUCUUUUUAUAUACUAGGUAGAUGUAAAGAGAAUCAAACUUAAGAAGGUUGAGAUAACUAAAAUCAAGUCUCCUGUCAACCUCAUAUAAGAAGUCAAAAUUUUAAUAAGAAGUCGGGUCUAAUCAAGUAUUGUCCCAACUUCUCCAACGGGGAUCAAUGUUUUAAAAACCGGACCGUUAAUCGAACCGGUGAAGUGAAAGGGUCGAGGUUCAAUCGGUCGGACCGGUUCAACCUCGGUUCAAUAAAUUUUUUAAAAAAUAAUUUAUAUAAAUAUAUAUGUGCACAAAAUAAGACAUGUAAUGGAUAAUUUAAUACUUUAUAUGAUGAAAAGUUUACUAUUUUUGAAUAACUUGGAUUUUUAAAAAUAAAUUUUAAAACAAAUAAAUUUCAUCUCAAUUUCAAUUAUAUCUACCAAAAAAAUCUUAAAUAUAAUCCAAAAAUAUCACAAUAUUUGAAAUUAUACAAAAUUCACGUCUAUGAGAAUUUAGACAUUGUGAACUUAAAUUUUAAUUUACAUUUUGGAAUUUAAAUUUACAAUUUAAAAAAGGAAGUUUGGAGUUAUAAGAAAAUCAAGAGAAUUGAAAAUAGAAAUGCAAAUUUGAUAAGAAACAAAAAAUGAGAUAAAAGUGAGUGGUUGUGGUAUUAAAUAAAUUGGGUUAAAGAAAAAUAAUUCUUUUUUAACUUUUUUAAAUUUAAUGGACAAAAACAAAAUUAAAAUAUGGAAGAAAACAUCAAUAAAUUAAAAAUAAAGAGAUUUGAUUAAAAAUAAGUGGCAAAAGAAAAGAUGAUAGAGAGAGAGUGUGUGUGUGUGUGUGUGUGUGUGUUGAUGAUUAAAAAAAAAGAGUCAUGAAAGGAUGAUAUUUUGUAAAAAAAAUGGAACAAAAGAAAUAUGAGUGUUUGUUUUAUAUAAAUAAGUUAUCAAAAAAAACUAACAAGAUGUGAUAGUACAACGGUUACUACAUUGGUCUUCUAUUACAAAGGUCUUGAGUUCGAAUCUUGGUAACUACAUUUUGCAAAAAAAAAAAAAAAAAAAAAAGUGGAAAACUCAAAAACCGGAAAUAGCCGGUUCAGCGGUUUCGCGGUCCAACCGGUUUUUGACCGGUUUCUUGACAAAGUCAAACCUGGCAUUGAACCGGACCGGAGCCAUGGCCGGUUCGCGGUCCAACCGGUCGAACCGGCCGGUCCGAUCCGGUUUUCAAAACACUGACGGGGAUUGAAAGCUUUUUUUUUUUUAAUCAUUAUUUAUCUACUUUAUAUUUACUCCUACUUUCAGUUUACAAUCGGAUCAAACGAAUGCACUACGCACCCGUAUAAAUUUAGAGAAAGCCAUUUAAAAUGACAAACCGCGUACAGAGAGAUAAGUGAUGAAAAGUAAGGUUUGAACCCUUAAAAGAUUUUGGUGGUGGGCAACCGCCAUUAGGUUCCAACUUUCUCCACUUGAUAAGCAAAUUCUGGGAUCAUAUGGGACUCCUUUUGUUCAUAAAUUUCUUUUGAGAUUUGUCCCUUCACUUUUUUUUUCCCCAAAAUUUUUAAAAAAAAAAGAGUAAAAUACAUAGAAAGCAAAGCAUGUCAACAUGGAGUAACAUCCCUGAACUUCACAUGCAUAUAUGUUGCUUUCUACGUCAGCAAGAACAUCACUCUGCUUGCUACCUACUCCUUCGUCACAUUUGCAAUCCAUCAAAUGUAUAAUGUACUAUCAAACAGAUUUAGGCACGAUUCAUAUUCCACGAACAAGUAGUAACAACUCCCGUCAUCACCGAAUCUAAUCUGAGUUUUUUUUUUUUUGGAGGAAAUGGUUUUGGUACCUAAUAUGCAUGCAUGCAGGGCUAGUGAAAGUGUGUAUGAAAGUGGUAAAAAAAAAAUUUGUUUUACAGAAAUUCAAAACGGUCGCGCUGUGUAUGUGUAUGGUAUAAAAAUCUUUGACAAAGAACAAAAAAUAAUUAAAGCAAAUGGGGCACUUAAAAAAGAGUCGUCGAGGAAAGAAGAAUCUGCUGCCUUUAAUCUCCCCACUUCCUGCAGGUAUCCAAGAAAACAAAAGCAAAAGGUCUCAUGUAGAAGAUGGGAUGUAUAUAUUAUGUAUGUGGUGAACCGUAACAUAAUUGACGCUUGUAGCAUUUUUAACAUUAAAUGUUGCAGUGUGGCAUGGGAUAAAUAUAUAUAUAUGUGUGUGGUGUUAAAUGAAAUGAAGAAAAGCUGCUCGGGGAAGACUCACUAUUAUAAUAAGCUGCUCUUGCUGCUCUGCCCUUCCGGUUCUAGGCUUCUGGCAGCUUGCUCAAGUCCAAAGCGAGAGUGUCAGUAAGGAGACGGAACAGGAUGUGCCCAGACAAUAAUUGCUGGGGCCAUGGGACUCUUUUUAUCUUGAGCCAUCGCCAAGAUUUAGUGCAUGAAAUAUUCCGUAUGACACAUUAAGGUACGCACAUUAGCUAAAAGAGUAGAGCAUUAAUAAAUAAUAAUAAUAAAAAAAAAAAAACAGUUAAUGGAAUGAGAGAAAAGGGAUGAAGAAUACUACUAUUGAAGAGCGCUAGAAAUUGAUGCCCAUAUAUAUAUAUAUAUAUAGACCGUGCGUGAUCAAUCGGGAAGAGGCAUAAUUUAUGUUGUCAACACUUAACAACAACAACCACCACCGACAAAGGUGACCUCCUUUCUCAGGCAAUCAUUCUUCGGCCACGACUAUAAUAAUUGCUUGUUCUAUCCAAAUCUUCCACGCCCCAAAGUACUCUUUGUUUAAGGUUCCCGACAGCAACAAGUAACAUUAGCAAACCUUGUCCAUCGUUGGUGCUUCUUUUUUUUUUUUUUCAUUUGAAAUCCGAAUUGCUUUUGCGGAAACGACUUUAACUUUACUUUACGCUUUUAUUAUACUGGACCUGGACCCGGUUUCCUACUCCAGCCAGCAGACUAGCGUGUGUUCUGACUUGUGAUCUUUGGCUUCUAGUUGCCGGACUGGAAUAUUAUCCUUUUUUCUAAGAAGAAUUCUAUACCCUCUGCUCUGCGCUGGAGAAAACCUAACUUUUGAUGUUUCUAAUUAUUCUCUAUAAUCACUUUGCAUAAUAAAUUUUAAAAACUCUAAAGCAAAUUAGAACAAGACCUAAGAGGUCAUGUGAUAUCUAAUCGUAAGAUGAGGAAAUAGCUCAAAAGUGAAAAAGAUUAACACCUGCAAUUUCCUUUCUGUUGGACUUAAUCCAAUUCUACAAUCUUGUAUUUUUAUCAAUUUGUGGGCACCAUCCUUGUGCAGGGGCCACGCUAAUCUUCGUUUUGUUGGACUAAAUCCAAUUCGACAAUCUUAUAAUUUCAAUUCCAUUCCGAUUCGACGAAACCGGACGGAUAGGUUUAGUCCUCCUCUUCAUAAUUUACAUCACAACCGCUACCCAUCCCAGGAAGAGAGCCACACGACCUAUAGACACACAACAAGCAAGCUUCAUAUAAUGAUGGGAAUAUGAAACAAUAGGAGCGUCCUUGGGGAAAAAAAUAAAAUUUAGAAGAACUCGUUAAAAGCUUCAAUUUUUAUCUUCAUCAUCUAGAAAGUUAAGAACAAAACAUCAUCCCAACUUUAGAUCGCCUUACAGGAGAGCUACACGAAAACAACAAUUGAACAGAAUAUAUUCUGAGAACCCUAAGAGACAUUUUGCCAAUUCUCAACAGGAGGCGGAAUUAUUUAUAAAAUUCAAAGUCAGUGUCGGGCUUCUUCACAUUGGCUCUAU